GGCCUGAUGGUCUAGUGGUAGUAAGUCAACCUCGCAGUGAGUAAACAACUCCAGCUCUAACAACCUCAUAGGGAUUGCCGCUUCGGGAAUAGUCCCAAUUCUUCAAAAGAAGCUGUGGCAGGUCCCGGGUUCGAUCCCCGGUUAGGCCC